rnacentral:rRNA from 1 species
GAAGCGGGAAGAGCUCAAAUUUGAAAUCUGGUGGCCUCAGGCUAUCCGAGUUGUAAUCUAUAGAAACAUUUUCCGCGUUGGCCCAUGUACAAGUCUCUUGGAAUAGAGCGUCAUAGAGGGUGAGAAUCCCGUCCUUGACAUGGACUACCAGUGCUUUGUGAUAUGUUUUCNAACGAGUUCGAGUUGUUUGGGAAUGCAGCUCAAAAUGGGUGGUAAAAUCCAUCUAAAGCUAAAUAUUGGCGAGAGACCGAUAGCGAACAAGUACCGUGAGGGAAAGAUGAAAAGCACUUUGGAAAGAGAGUUAAACAGUAUGUGAAAUUGUUGAAAGGGAAACGAUUGAAGUCAGUCGUGUCUAUUGGACUCAGCCGGUUCUGCCGGUGUACUUCCUUUAAUGGGGUCAACAUCAGUUUUGAUCGCUGGAAAAGGGCAGGAGGAAUGUAGCACUCUCGGGUGAACUUAUAGCCUUCUGUCGCAUACAGUGGUUGGGACUGAGGAACGCAGCUUGCCUUUAUGGCCGGGAUUUAUCCACGUACAAGCUUAGGAUGUUGACAUUAUGGCUUUAAACGACCCGUCUU